UGUCACAAUAAAGUUCCUGAUUUUUCACAGC
rnacentral:piRNA from 1 species